GAUUUUAUUGGGGUAUCCCUCGGAUUUCGAUUCCGAGGGUCGGAGGUUCGAAUCCUUCCGAGCGCGCCA
rnacentral:tRNA from 1 species